UCCUAGUAAUUGCCUGAAUAUAUUUUUUGC
rnacentral:piRNA from 1 species